ACAUGAAAUUUGAAAGACCGUUAAAAAGUCGAGUCAAGGAACACCAUUUUUGCGAAAUGUUUGGACCGGUCAAGUGUUUUUUAUAUUUUUGGAGACCGUUAAUAGAAAGUAAAGUUGUUUUAUUCGUGAAUUUUGUAAUUUUCAUCGGGUAUCGUAUUGUCCAACAGGUUCAACAUUUCGCAAAGCUCCCAAUUAAUGUGCUCGCUCUCUUUCUCAAAAGUUUUCCGAUGAAUUUGUGUGGAAAAUAUUAAAGAAUUAUGUGAAAGAAAGAAAAAAAAUUCCGGGAAUUUUUAAAUUAUAUGAAAAAUUUAAAAACAAUUUCAUCAACGCAUGUAUUUUACAAGAUUGCCAUUUUCAAUUUAGAGAAAAAUAAUAAGUUGAUAAUUUCUUUUAUUCAAUUUUUGAGAGAGAGAGAGAGAGAGAGAAAGAGAGAGAGAGGGAGACAAAAAAGAGUAAACGGUAUGUGUCGUGACGGAGUUAAAAAUUAUUAGAUUCGGGAGUGUUAAUUCGAUAUUUUUAUAAUCGCGAAUUAAAUUUUCUUAGGAUGUUUAUUUGUUUUCGUUGUUUGUCUUUCUUGUACUAAUUGAAAUCGCGAUCGCCAUAUAUGUGCAGGUCUCCCUCAUCAAUAUUGGUAUUUCCUACUUCAAGUAGGAUGAAGAGGCAGAGCUUAUCAUAUGGACGUAAAGAAGUUUAACGAGAGGGAAGAAUCACUUCCGUCCUGAAACGAAGAUGUCGAGGAUCAUUCAAGAUAAAAGGAAACCACAAGAUCAGCAAAAGCAGGCAAAAGUCAUGAGCGCUAAUGGCCAGGUGGCAAUGAAGCACGAAUGUAAAAGAAGAAAAAAGCAGAAGAAGGCGUUACUGUUACGCUGCGCGGAAAAAGUGGGGGAUGCGCGAGUCAUCUAGCGCUCUUUGCGCGCGAAAAUAUAAAUAAGGACUUCUUCUACUUCCUGUACAUUACGAUUGACUAUUAUAUUAUUAUAACUAUUAUUAUCAUUAUUAUAUAUUUAUUAUUGUAAAUAAUAAUAAUUUCAUGUUAUUAUUACUGUAAAUAAUUUAAAUAAACAAUUUUUUCAUUUUUGGAGUGCUAUAGUGACGUGUUUUGAAAUAUAUACUAAUUAAACAUGACAGUGUUUAUUAACCGCAGAAGUUAGAGAGUAUACAUUUAUUCUCUUGCAUUUAUAACGGAUUAAAUUCUCCACACGAAAUGUUAUUCGCCGAAGGCGUUGGUCCAUCAUGUAUAUAUAUAUUGCGCACCGUAAAUGGCAAAUGAUAACCUCGACAGGAUCUUAAUACAUCGAUUAAUUAACAGACAACUAAUCGAUCAAAUUUGAUUCGCUUAAUUAUAACGGACCUCAAUGUUCGUUUGAAGAAUGAAAAAGGUGAAAAAAUUAAUCGACAGUCGAUAAUAAAUGCGUAGCUGUCAAAAUGACGUUCGAGCAAAUAUUUAUAAUAAAUUAAAUCAAUACUUUUUUAUUUACAGUAUUGAUCG